GAAAAAUAAAGCUAAAAUGAAAAAAAUAGGAAAUUAAAUGAUCGAAAAUUACAUUAAAAAUAUUCUUCAUCAAAAUAAGUAUGAAAAAAAUACUAAUUAUAAAAAAUAAAUUGAAAAAUACAGCUAAAAUAAAAAUGAAAAAAUGAGACAUUAAAUGAUCGAAAAUGUAAUUAAAAAUUAAAAAUACAUUGAACUUCUACCAAUGAUAAACUCAUUUAAAUUUGUCAAUAAAAUGCUCCAAAUUGCAAAUUUUGAUUUGACACACUCACUCACCAACUUUGACGGCGUGGCUGAUGAGCUCUUGCAUCUUGAACUGCUCAAAAACAGAAAAAAAAAUGUAGUUUUGUAGUUAAGAGUUCAUAAGAUCUGCCACAAACGAUUAUUUCGAUAGUCGACUUUUUUAUAAAUCAACAUUUUUACUGUUAUAUUACUCUAUAAACUGGAACUUUGCAUUGGAACAAGAGUCGAUAAAAAAUUUGAGGCUUGAAAAAAAGAGGUUUUGGUCCAUUUUUAGGACAACAAUAUCUCUUAACGAUUAUUCGACUGCUAAAAUAGUUGUCCAAUAAUUUGAUAAUCAAUUAGAAAAAGUAGUCAGUUUUUAGUUUUUUAUUAAAAAAAAAUUUUUUUUUAAUUAAUUAUUAUAAGAAUUUGAGCAAGGUGAUUAAUCGACUAUCAAAAUAGUAAAAUAAUCUGACAGUCAAUUAGUUCUCUAUUAAUCGUGGCAGCCCUAGUACUUAUACGUACUGUACAUGCUAUUAACUCACUGUUAAAGACUUACUGAGGAAAAAUGGUUCAAAGGGGCGAUUUUAAGCGGCAGAAAAACAUGACAUGAAGGUGUACCUGAAGACUCCUAGCUUGCUCCAGGUUUCCGCUCUCGAACUCUGACAGCAGCUUCUUCAUGUGACUUCCCAGAUAGUUGUACGUGCUUGCGGAAAGACGGGAAAAACAUAUGUUCAUGCCAAAUUGCAAAUCACAGAUCUAAUAAAUUCUAUUAAAUAAAUACGAAACUGACCUGCCAACCGCUCCGUGGGCUCCCAACGCAAGAGCCGCUAACAGUUGCUACGUGACAGUAAAAGUGAAGGUGAAGAAAGUGUUAAGCGGAAGUGGGGAAGUAGGUCGCGGUCGCGCGGCUGACCUCGUCCACGCCAUACAGGACGGACCAGUGAGGCUGGGUAUGGUUGAUACACUGGCCAAAAUCCAUCAGGUCGCUGCCAGAGAAUUUGACCCCUCGGAAAGAGGGAAUGAGCGUCUCUAUUCCUUCCAGCAAGUCACUUGCUGGCACUGAGAAAAAGACAGUAUGAAAGAAAGUAUGAAAGGAGUUAUCGUGAAAGUUAUUUUCAUUUUCUGACCUCUGCGAUCUUUGACCUCACCACUCCAAAAUUUAAUCACCACUUUCGUUUCAUACCACAAACAUAUCCUGCAGAUUUUAAAGGUGGAGUAAAAUAAAGUGCUUUAAAUUUCAUGAUAAUCUCUGUUAUUGAGCUAUCGCAAAAUUCCCUGUGACCUUUUGACCUCAGCACCCCAAAAUGUAAUCACCUAUUCCAUUUAUAAUUCCUUUAUUUGUACAUGAGCUAUCGUGAAAUUCCUCUUUUGACCUCAGUGACCUUUGACCUCAUUACUCAACAAUUGUAAUCACCUGUUCCUUUUAAUUUUACAUACAUAUCCUGCUUAUUUGAUCAUAAUCCCUUCAUACAUUGUUGAGUUAUCGCAAAAUUCCUUCUCAGACCGCCGUGACCUUUUGACAUCAUCACUCCAAAAUUUAAUCACAUCUUCCUUUUUAUAUUCUAUACAUGUCCAGCAUAUUUGAUCAUGAUCCCUUCAUACAUUCUUGAGUUAUCGUAUAAUUCCUUUUCUGACCUCUGACCUUUGACCUCAUCACCCCAAAAUUAUUCAUAUCUUUUGUUUCAUAUAUUAUUAUUUCAUACACACAUAUAUAUAUAUAUAUUUAUCCAUUCCUGAGCGAUUGCGAAAUUCCUCUUUUGACCUCUGUGACCUUUGUACUUUUCACCCCAAAAUUGAAGAACCUUUUUUUUUUACCCGGUGGCUGGACUGAGUAAAAAAAAAGACCAAAAAUAUAAAAAAAUACCAAUGUAAACUAUAUGUAUACAAAUAAUUAGAAAAAAAUAACAAUACGAUCAUUGUAUAAAAAAAUGAUAAAAAAUAUGAUUCAAAUAAUUUCAAGAAAUUCAAAAAGUGUUGAAGUGUACAGAGUACUAAGAGUACUGAACAUCUUUUUUUUAAAAAAAUAAGUCUUACCAAACAGAGCUUGAAUAAAGCAACCACUAACCAUUAACGCCAGUAAGACCUGGAAGGUGGUAGUAAUAGAAAGGCACUGUGGGGGCUGCGGUAGCCACAUUCUGAAGGUACGCCCUCAGCGACUCUGAAACCCAAACCAACAAACACCUCCAUGAAUUUCUCGUUCCACACAGGAACAAUCUUCCCCUCGAUUUUACCUGCCGAGCGAGGUUUGAAGAAGGACGGCGAAAUGACCGCUAUCCCGUCUGCUCCAAUCUCCACAGCAUGGCGAGCCUGAACAUGAACACGGUUACCAUUAAGAAGUUCAAUUACAACCAGUAAUAAAAAUGAAAUUUUAACAAUGAAUGUUAUAGAGUGCUCAUUUAAAUACUAAGGAAUUAUUAACAAAAACAAAACAAAAAAACGUUAGCGUACUAUUGGAGGCCAUAACCAGAUUUGAUUUCUCAUUGUAAAAAUUAAUAGAUCCAGAAAUGCCCAAAAAUCAACAGGAAGUGGCCCAAAGUGAACAGGAAAUGAAGCAGUUUUUGCUCAAAUCAACAGACAGUGAAAUGGAAUCGAACAUAAAUCAACAGGGAGUGACUUGAAAUAAACAAGUUGCGACCCAGGAAUGCUCCAAAAUAAAAUAAAAAAAAAAAAUCUAGUUAAAGCCCAAAGACCAACAGGAAGUGACCAAAAAUGAACAGAAAGUGACGCUGUAUUGCCCCAAAAUCAACAAAGUGACCUAAAAUCAAAAGUAAGUCACCCUGUGUUGACCAAAAAUCAACGAAGUGACUUAAAAAUCAACUUAGAAGUAACCUGAACUGGAACCUAAAUAAACAGAAAGUGACCUGAUAUUAACAGGUUCUGACCCAGAAAUGCUCCAAAAUAAAAAAGAAGUGACACUGCAUUGACCAAAAAUCAACGAAGUGACCCGAAAUCAACACGAAGUAACCUGGAAUUGAACCUAAACCAACAGGAAUUCACCCAGCAAUGCCCCAAAAUCAACAGGAAGUCACCCAAAAUAAACAGGAGCUGACGCAGUAUUGACCCAAAAAUCAACGAUGUGACCUAAAAUCAACAGGAAGUGACCCAGGAAUGCUCCAAAAUAAAAAAGAAGUUGAAUUAAAGCCGAAAAAUCAACAGUGACCUAAAAUUAACAGAUUGUGACCCAGAAAUGCUCCAAAAUCAAAAGAAAGUCCAAUGAAAGCCCAAAAAUCAACAGGAAGUUACCCAAAAUAAAAAGGAAGUGACACGAUAUUGACCCAAAAUCAACAAAGAGACCCAAAAUCAACAGGAAGUAACCUGAAAUUGAACCUAAAUCAACAGGAAGUGACCUGUGGGAGUUUACAGACCAGCAGAGCAAAGCAUUCCUACACAAUUUCUCCACAAAUUGCAUUUUAUUGCUAUUUUAAUCUGUAUUAACAUGUUAUUAAUUCACAAAUGUAUUCAUUUAUGGGGAAAAAAAUGAAUUGAGAAUUAAAAAAAACAACAACAACAAAAUUAUAAUAUCUAAUCAUCUUAAAGUUUUUUUCCCAACACAAUAAAGGGUUAAAGCGCCUGUGACAGCAUUAAAAAAAAAAUCUUAAAUAGCAUUAUUAUUUGAACUAGAAUCAUAUUUUGAGACGAUUCGACUAUUUACAACAAUUUGGCAAAGCGCAUAUAACAAGAAAUUAGUCUUUUAAUCUGCUGUUUUGCCCCUUCCCGUCAUUUUAGCGCUCUAUCAUCCCCAGCUGGUGGAAUGGCCAUGACAAAUAACAGUCUUGUGCUAAAUAGACUAUGAAAUAUUAAAAAUGCAUUUAUUCAGUACGACAUUGCAAAAUUACUCCAAAAUGGUCAAAACUGUCAACUUCUUGCACCUCCGAAAGAUAUUUCACGCCAAGGAGUUAGUCCAGCUUUUGUCAUUUCCCUGCCCCGGCUUCGGAGAGCGUAAACAAACCAAAAGACGUGACAGCUAGCCGACAUGCUAACCCAAACCAAGCGGUGUUUCCGAGUCUGAUUCUCGCCUUUCGAAGCGAAAAAUCACAAAACUAUCCUGGAUCAUUUCAUAUGGCGGCGGGGUCGUCGAAUGUGUUCACGAAUCGGCAACCCCCCCGGCGGCGAGCAAGUUACAGCUCUUCGUUUCCCUGCUGCGCGCAGGAGAGCUCGUUUACCGGGGAAGCAGCUGGAGAAUGACCGCCGGACAAACCGGCCGACGUCGGAGGAGCGCGUAGCUGUCCGAGCCCAACCUGAGGAUAGUGGUCUAUUGCCAGCACACGAAGAGGGCCGAGUGGGCUAAAAGUCUGGACGAUAUGGAGAACUGCACGAGCAUAAGCAAAGUAUAGCGCUAUCCCGGUGGGCACGCGAAGAGGACCGAGGGGGGUGUGCGACAGGUCACCGGUCGUCGGCCGAGUGGAAUUCUCAGUGGACAAGGAGCACAAAAUGCAAGUCACCUCUGUAUUAAAACGUGUGCCAUGAUCCCAGUAUUUGACAUAAUACAAAACAAUAUAUUUACUCACUUCCUCGUAUGUCCAAUGGUCCAACAUUUGUCUGACUUUUUUGGCCAAUCUCGGGGUGAAGGGGAACUUUUUGAAACCCACAAAGGCUCACACACCUUUCCUUGGUGCAGCAACAAAACCCUGCAGCACAUCUGGCUGGCUUGAUGCGAAAAAUAAAUGAGUUAAUCAGCAAAAUCAGCUGAAUCCGCAUGCUAUAAAGCAGUGCUGUAUUGUGAGAUGCUGACCCGGGUGACGUCACAUUCGCAUUCAUCCUCAACCCGAGACUGGAGCCGGAAGUCACUCAUUUUCAUGGCGCGGAAUUCAAAAUAUUGAACAAAUAAAACGAUCGCUUCCACACAUAUCCGAGCGGUCCGUUUCAUUCAGGAGCAUAAAAUACCGCGUAAAAUAUGAAAUAAACAUGCUUUUUUUGCUGUCAUAGGCACUUUAAACUUGUUAAUAAAAAGGAACCAACCAGUUCUUGUGAUUCUUUAAGACUCGUGCAGCCAACAUGAAUAAUCACCUGCUCCAUUCUGUAUGAAAACAGUAAAACAGUAGUUUUACAUUUUACUCAUUCACUGCCAUUGACGGCGAUACACGUCCAAUUCUUUUGUACCGGGAGUGUUGAACGUUCGUAAAUGCCAUCAAUGGACAGGGGCGGUUCUAGAACAAUAUUUAUGGGUUGGCGAGAGGCAGACGGGAACUUUUGAGGGUGGCAAAUAUUUCACAAUGGUAAAAUACCGUAUUGGCCCGAAUAUAAGACGGCCCUGAUUAUAAGACGACCCCCUCUUUUUCAAGACUCAAAUUUGAAAAAAAGACUUUUUCAACACCCAAUUAAUUUGUAUACAGGAAAUAAUUACAGUACAUCCGAAACAAAUGAUUAUAACAAUAUAUUUGAGAGAAAAAGCAUGUUAUUUUGCCUCAUUCAAAUCUUAAUAUCUGAACAUUUAAAUAUGUAAACUAAAGUGCAAUCACAAUCAUAAAUGAAUGGCUUCUGGUUUUUGAAAUGUAAAUAAACCAAUCUAUUGUGAUAAAACAACAAAAUUGCAAUAACUGCAUUAACCAUCAAAGUGAAGUCUAACUAACUGUAGUCUUGAAACAAAUCUGAAUAAGGAAAAACUUUGCAAUAAAAUAAUGCAAACUCAUUAAACUUUAGAGUAGCUGAGAUCUAUCAUGACAGAACAUUGCUUCAUUGAUAUCUGGCGCCAUCUAGCGUCGUGAAUGGGGAGAGAAGCUGAGAUCUGUCAUGCCAGAACAUUACACACUAAUUAUCUUCUACUUAACCCUAAAAAGACAGAAGUCCUUAUAAUAGGCCCAAAAAGUGUAAGAGACUCUUUGACUGCCAAGAUAGUCACCCUGGACAAUGUAAGUGUAUCCUCCAGCACCGCAGUUAAAAACCUAGGAGUUCUAUUUGACCCAGACUUGUCAUUUAAAGCUCAUAUUAAACAAACCUGCAGAACAGCCUUCUUUCACCUUCGCAACAUAGCCAAAAUUAGAAAUAUUUUGUCUAAAAACGAUGCAGAAAAUUUAAUUCAAGCGUUCGUUACAUCUAGAUUGGAUUACUGUAACUCCCUACUUGCAGCUUGUCCUAAAAGUUCUCUAAAAGGUCUUGAGCUAGUCCAGAACGCAGCAGCAAGACUUUUAACAGGAACUAAUAGAAGAAAGCACAUCACCCCUGUGCUCCAGGCCCUUCACUGGCUUCCGAAUUAAAUUUAAAAUCCUCCUUCUUACAUUUAAGACCAUAAAUGGUUUGGGGCCAUCUUAUCUCACCGAUGCUCUGGUUCCAUACCGCCCCAACAGAACACUCCGUUCUCAGAAUGCAGGUCUACUGGUAGUUCCCAGGGUUUCUAAAAGUACAGUAGGCGCUAGAGCCUUUUGCUGCCGAGCUCAUGUCCUAUGGAAUAAGCUUCUAGCUAAUAUUAAAGAAGCCGACACAGUCUGUACAUUUAAGAUUAGACUAAAAACGUUCCUAUUCGACAAAGCUUAUGGUCAGGCUAGUUGAAAUCAGACUAGACUCAGGGCAGUCUAAGCUGCACUAGAAGCUAUAAUGCUGGGGGAAGUACAGCCACUGAGUCCUAUCUCCUUUUUCUCACUCUACCUACCACUUGUCUUGCUUUAUUUCUUUUUUCUAAUUUUAAUAUCUAGUUGACUAGUCUCUUCAUCACUAGUCACCUGGUGUCCCCUUUCAGCCGCAGCCUCCUGACUAUCCGGAGCCCUGGUUGGAUGGACGUCCUUGUCCCCCCCCAUCUCAUCUGGCUAGAUGGACCUCCUCUUGUUUCCUCACUCUAUUGCAUUUCUAGAAACUGUAACUCCGUCUGCUAAUUCCCAUUAGCAAUCCUGAUGCAUCUUGUCUAUCCGUCCAGGGAGUGGAUAUCUCCUGACUGUGGUUCUCCCCAAGGUUUCUCAUUUUUUCCCCCAAAAGUUUUUGGAGUUAUUCCUUGCCGACAUGGAGGGUCUAAGGAUGAGGGAUGCCCAGGACUUGGACUAGAACUUUAUUUAAUUCAUCUACUGUUUUUGACUAUGUAUCAUAUUGCCUCUGCAAAGCCCUUUGAGACAACUUUGUUGUGAUAUAGGGCUAUAAAAAUAAAACUGAAAUGAAUUGAACAUCGCUUCAAUGAUAUCUGGCGCCAUCUAGUGUCGUGAAUGGGUAUAAUGUCUAGACCACGAAGAUAAAGGGACAAAUUCUGCAGCAGGAUGAUGCUCCAUCGCAUACUUCAAUCUCUACCUCGAAGUUCCUAAAGGCAAAGAAGAUCAAGAUUCUCCAGGACUGGCUAGAUCAGUCACCAGACAUGAACAUCAUUGACCAUGUCUGGGGUAGGAUGAAAGAGGAAGCAUGGAAGACGAAACCCAAGAAUGUUGAUGAACUCUUGAAGGCAUGCAAGACUGCUUUCUUUGAUGUUCCUGAUGACUUCAUCAAUAAAUUGUAUGAAUUCUUGCCGAAGCCCACGGAAGUCAUACAAAAUAUUACAUUUGGAUCUCACAGCACCACUACUUAAUUCGCUUAUGUUAUGUAACAUAUUUUUGUAUUUGAAGUACAUUUUUUGUUCAAUUUUCACACUACUUUCUGUAGGCGACAAAACUUUUGUCUUGCCAAAAUUUGACCUUUAUUUCUUCAUUAAAGGGUAUGACAACACCUGGGGAAAUGCUAAAAUUCUAUCAUUUAUCCAUCAACGCAUGCCUUUUGAAUUCAUAUCAUGCCACUUCGUGUAAUUACACACAUCGCAACACCAAGAAAAUGAUAGAAAUUAGGUCGAUUGUCAAGCUAAAAGGACCCGCCCCAGAGAUGCCGGAAAUCUAGCAUAUUGUGUGCGCGACGUCACUUUCGGGAAACAGCCGGCUCAGUGCUUAGUACUGAAUGGCGGCGAUGAUGGCGGACAAUUUUGGUUCUAUUUGCAGCGACGAAUCUGACGUAACGAACAUUCUUCUAAUGGUGACGAGGAGAGUUAUGAACCUUUCUUUGGUGUUUUGGGUUAUCAAUUUGAGCCCAAACGAAAGCCAAUGCAGCCUAAUGAAAGGAUCAUUGAGGGGAGCAAUCACACUGAUGAAACCCCGACAACAGUUCGUGUGGGGAAACACCAAAUGGUAUGUUUUGCAUUUCUUUUUGUGAAGCUGAUACACCGUGACCGCAAAAUAAAGUAUAGAAUAAUUAUCAUUUAAUAUGCUAUCAUCGGUUUCGCUCUGCCAACUGACACAAAUAUGAAUGGGAUUAGAGCAGGAGUCCCCAACCUUUUUUGCACCACGGACCGGUGUGAUUUGGGUCUUUUUUUCAUGGACCGGUGUCCCUCUUUUAUAUUCAGUUGGACUCUCAAUGUUAUCCAAUGGUGCUAAAAAACUAUUUACAUCACAAACAUACAUGUGCAACUCGGAAAUGGCGUAAAUUAACGCUUAACGACACGGCGAAGUCGUUAAGUGAGAGGGCUACGUGCAGUUGUGUGCGCCAAACAUGGCAAACGUAAGUUAAUAUUCCUUUCUUUAAAGAAAGUUUGUAGUGUGUACUUAGGAAUCGCUGCAUUCGCGGUCCUUUUUAACGUUACGCGCAUGCCAACUUCAUCAGAAAACUGGCAAUGUGCGGCAGAAAAAUACAGCAAAUAUAAAAUAGCAUUUGUUUUUAGCCCCGUCGUGUUAAGUGCAGGGAAAAAUUACAACUCACCCGCUGAAUCAGUGGGAGGGCUGAGUUUGUUUCGUUGAGACGAGAUGGUCCCGAGAUGGGAGAGUGAGCGAAGCUAGCAUCACAAAUACACGAUGUUGGAAAUUGUAGCACAGUUUUCAGCGCACUCCUAGCGAUGUCGGGAUAUUCCGAAAUGACUUUAAUCCAGAACUUCGGUAGAGUUGUUGUCUCAAAUGUACGUUUAAAUCGCCGGAUUUAUUCACAUACGGGUCACAAAUUCACUCCUUCGCAGUUCGUGGGUCUUUAGUGAUUGGGAAGUAGCAUAAAUUUUGUUUUAUUUGAGGUUGUAGGCACAUCUUCUGGCUCGUCAGGUUCCCGUUUCCCUGUAAAAUUGCAAAAUUAGCCCUCUUAGCACUGACGAACUUUACUCAUUGUCUGCGUAGUCCAGCUCUUUUUCUCGCGUUCGGGAACUCAUGGGUACUACAAUGCGACAAAUGGCUAUUUGUAAACCACAUAGCAUGACAGGUUUGAACCAUUUUAGCGAUUUUUUGAUAAAACACGAACGCAACUCUCUCGUCGAUAAACAACGAUGGCACCUGCCUCGACCUUUUGUUUCCUUGUUAUGACGUCUCCGCCCCAUUCGGCUGUUUCCGGAACACUUUCGGAAAUGUUCGUCAUUUUCGAUCUAUUUUCCAUAAUUGCUCAUUAAUGUGAUUGAUUUUUUUGUUAACUUUAUCAAUAUUUGUUAUCUUGGCACAUAACGGUUCUAUUGAUGUCUCACACCCCCUUUGCGUUUUCAUACCCUUUAAAUGAUAAAUCUUUUUUCAGUGAAACAAAUAUAUUUUUGUACAUUCAACAUCAUUUGGGAGGGUCUUAGCUUUCAUCUGAGCCAUUUCUGAAACCAAUUGAAUAAUCAAAAGUCAGGCUAUUCGCAAUUCUUUCUACAAAAUGGAUAAACGACAAGACUUUUGUCAGGGACUGUAAAUAUUCCAUGAUUAAGUGAGGACAGCUGCGUUUUAACCCUUUGAUGUUUAGCUCGACAAUUUGGUAGAUCACAUUUUGUGUCCCUAUAUUUAUGGUAUAAUGUGUUGAACUGAACUCAACCUGAUUGUGUCCUCUCUACAACUUGGUUGAGAUAUGCUGUGCAUAAAAAAUCCACUAGAGGCCACUGUAUUUUUCGUUGGUAUGAGUUUUCACUCAUCCUUCUGCUAGCAAGGUUUCAACAGAAAAAUCACUCCUGACAUGUGGGCAACUUUUGGCUACAAUAUGACAGAACAUGGAAUUUUCUGGCCUUUAUACCAGAAGAUCCUCAAGACUCUGAGGCUGAUCUGAGUGAUGAUGACACAGUAGGGGAUCCUGAUUUUCUGCUCAAAUAAGUAGAGUUGAUCGGGGAUCUUUGCACUCAAUCUUCAGAUGAAGAGUUGCCCUCUAAAAGCACAUCUGCAAAGAGGAAAAAUACCCUAGAAACAUUCAAAGAAGAGGUGGAUGAGGCUCCCUUUUCAACCCCGGUGUCAAAGAAGAAGAAAACGUCAGAAAAGAAACAAAAAGAAGCCAGGAGGAUCUAGAAGCAUGUAGAUAUUGAGGAAUUCCAGGUCCCUGAUUCAUGUUUUGCAUCCCCAGAUCCUGUCAAGACACUCUUCCAGUACUUCAAAAUGCUCUUCACUGAUGGGAUGAUUCAACAUAUUGCUUUUCAAACCAACCUGUACUCUGCCCAGAAGUUGGGGGAUCCCAUCAAACACAAACCUAGUGAGAUUGAAGAUUUCCUGGGUAUGCUAUUUUUCAUGGGUAUUCUUCAAUUUCCGACCAUAGCAGACUACCGGUGCCCUGCAUCACGUUUUGACGUGAUUGCUGACAUCAUGCCAAAGAGGAGAUUCAUGCUGUUACGUGGCAUUGAUCCUUCCGACAUGCUAGUUCACCUAUACAAGACCCCAGCCAAGUCAACCCGUUGGUACUUCCCCCUGUUUGGAUACGCCCUAGAUCUCUGCAUCUUCAAUUCCUGGCUGGUCUACAAGAGAGACUGUGGCCUUCCGAAGGAAAAACCAAUUCCUCUGAAAAUGUUUCGCUUGGCUGUGUCCCACACUUUGAAACAAGUCAACAAGCCAGCAUCCAGAGUAGGCCGACCACCGUCUGCCAGUCCACCAAAUAUGUCCUGUGAGAAGAAGCGCUUGCCCCCAACAACCCCACAACCAGAUGUGCGCUACGACAACUAUGGACAUUGGCCACUUCACACUGACAAUCGGGGGCGGUGCAGCCUCUGCCCAAAAGGUGUGUCAAGAUGGAAAUGCGGGAAGUGCAAUGUUUUCUGUACUUGUUGGGUGAGAGAGAAUGUUUUGUAGCAUAUCAUCAAAAAUAAAGUGGCCAAUGUUUCCAUGGGUCAUUAUUGUGUUAAGGCAUUUUGUUUGAGAGAUGUUUAGUUUUUGAUUUUUUUCAAAGCAAGAACAUUAUUAAGUUCUUUGGGUACACUCGUGGGUCUUUCAAUGUUGAUUUGACUGUGGGAAAUGGCUAAGAAAUGCCUAAGACUCCAUGUUGUGUUUAUGCCAAAAUGGACCAAAGGUCUUUUGUUGAAAUAAAAUUUGACAUGAGUUGUUUCCUGGUAUUUCUACAUUUUAUAGUUCCUUUUUUCAUAUUUCUAGGUGUUAAAUGAUCCAUUUAUUUGUCAAUACUCAUUCACAAUUAUGUAUUAGGUAAUUUUACCAUCGAGCAACAUCUCAACCAUUUGGUAGAGACCUAUAUUUAAAAAACUGGGGAGUCCAUAUACAUUUUUCCAAUUUAUUUCUGUUACUUGUGCCACAACAACUUAAAAAAUACCCAAAAAUAAUUUUUUCAUUGUUUUUUUCUUGGAGUGAACAUCAAAGGGUUAAAGUCCAGUGCGGCUUAUCUAUGAGCAAAUGCCUAAAUUUGGUGGGUGGCGUCUUAUAGUCUGACAAUUACGGUAUUUUCAUGAGAAAACAUUAUU